AGUAUCUAGUCAACUUCACCCUCCCUUAUCCACCAGGAAAGGCAGGGCGAUGAGGGUGGAGUGGAUUCUGAACAGAGAGAAAGUGCUCGGCGGGUAGUCGCCUUUUCCAAUCGGAGUGCCGUGCGCAGGCCGGCUAGCCUAUGGGACUCGGCUGCUAGGGCGAGAGGCGGGCCUCUCAGAAGUAGGAAGUAUUCGUGGGUGUCUGGGUGUUCGACUUGGCGUCCUCCGGGAAAAGGGAAGCGCGAGCCGUGGACAUGCUCAUGGCGCGGAGCGGUGAUCAGGGCAGCUGCAAGAAUAUUUGGCUUCAUUUGUACGCCUUCUCAGGAGGAUAACUGUUGACCUCCAAAAAGUGGAAGUGGCCGGAGAGGUUGAACUUCUCAGAACUUACCCGCGGCUCCUCGUCUAGGAGGCCACACCAGAGCUGAGCCAGUAUCUGUACCUGGAUUUGAAUGCAGAAGAUUGGCCCACAGCCACGAGGACCAUCCAAUACCAGGGUGAGUUUAUAUGAUAAUGAUUUCGCCAGUCUUUCCUCAGCAGGACUUAAUGCCUUUUUAUUUAUACACUGGGGCAAGGAGAAUAAGCAUUUGAAAGACUGUAGGAUUCAGGUCAGCAUUGACUUUGAUACNGGAGGAUCGAACCCGCAACCGCAUGGUUCUUAAUCGGAUUUGUUAACCACUGUGCCAGGACGGGAACUCCUACACAAAUAUUUUAAAACAUUUUGGUAGCCACAGAAAAUCUCCCUGUGCCCAUUUUGUCCCCAAAUCUGUGCCAGGUUUGCCAUCUGUCCCCCAGGGGCUUUUUUCUCCGAAUCCUCCUUUGCAUCCAAGGUUGAUCGUUGAACUUCAUGGGGGAUAAGGUCUCAGACAGCUGGAUUUUGCAGCCUCCACUCUGCAUCUUAACCACACCCAUGCCCACUCAGAUUCCUAAUUCUUUGUCAGGCGCUCUUAUUCGGAGAGUUUUAAAUGUAAGGACCUGUUCAUUGGAAGGUUGAAAUUGGGGGGUCUGGAUAGGUUAGAGGGGGUGUAGCCAUCAGGCAAUGCCUUUAUUCCUGCCACUGCUUGUAAGUUGGCUCAGAUGGCCAAGCCUGGGCCAGGAGCGACAUCUCCCCUGCAGGGCGUCCUCUCCCAGAAUGGACACAGAUGCUUCAGGAAUGUGUGAGGGGUCAGGGAAGGGGCCAUGAAUCUGAUAGAUGUAUGUAAAAACUACAGAAAGCUGCCACUCCGGUAGAUCAGAUUAUUUUCACAGGUGUAUAUGUUGACAAUUCCAAAACUACUUUAUGUGUAUACUUGAGUUGAACGAAUAAGUAAAUAAAUUAUAUAAAAUGGGAGUCAGGUUUCUUAUUGUUAGAAAAAAAGGCACAAAUAAUCAGGGGUUUUCUAGCAUGACCCUUGUAUAACUCUAUAGUUGGAGACAGUAUGAACUCAUGUUUAGCAUCUCUUGUUUUUGUUUUGUUUUGACUUGUUUCUUUGGCCAUGUCCAUAGCAUGCAAAAGUUCCCGGCCCAGGGAUCAAACCUGUGCCACAGUAAUGACAACGCUGGUUCCCGCCAAGCCACCAGGGAACUCCCAUUUUAACAUCUGUUGAGAGAGAAUAUAGAAGUAGUUAUAUCUGUGUUUAUAUGCAUGAAUUAACAUGCAUACAUUUAUUUCCUAGCUCUGACUACUGACAGGGUCCGGAACCAGGGACACCCGACAACUGAAUAACCCAGUGCCCCAGAUAUGAGUUUCUAAAUUCCAUUGUUCAGGUACAGAAAACAGCAACAACGACACCCUAGGGCACUAGAGGACAGACCAAGGAAAAAUCGUGACUCGAGAGAGUGGACAAACCUGGCAGAUACCACCUUAGCCAAGUGGUCAGUGUUCUCGUCACGUUUUCAAUGCCAUGUACCGGGACAGGGUGCAAUGGAAAAAUACUUCCUCUGUGUGCUCCUCUUCCCGCAGUUGGAGGGCCCCAGUCUAAUCAUGAAAACGCAUCAGCCAAACCUAAGGUUAAAAUCCUAAAACUGGAGAAAGGAAGAGGCGGGCUUUUCCAACCCCUAUUCCCCUUGGAGGAUAAAACUGUAGCACACCAGAUCCUUGGAGCAGAGCUUCCUUGCCUGCCACUUGCAUUUCUCCCAAGAGUCCUAUCCUAAUAAAUCUAUUUCUUG
rnacentral:lncRNA from 1 species